UACGUAGGGUGCAAGCGUUGUCCGGAAUUAUUGGGCGUAAAGAGCUCGUAGGCGGUCUGUCACGUCGGCUGUGAAAACCCGGGGCUCAACCCCGGGCCUGCAGUCGAUACGGGCAGACUAGAGUGCGGUAGGGGAGACUGGAAUUCCUGGUGUAGCGGUGAAAUGCGCAGAGAUGUGGAGGAACACCAGUGGCGAAGGCGGCUCUUUGGUCUGUAACUGACGCUGAGGCGCGAAAGCGUGGGGAUCAAACAGG
rnacentral:rRNA from 1 species